rnacentral:rRNA from 1 species
UACUUAGGUGACAAGCGUUGUCCGGAUUUACUGGGCGUAAAGAGCGCGCAGGCGGUCGAUCAAGUCGAGUGUGAAAGCCCCCGGCUCAACUGGGGAGGGUCAUUCGAUACUGAUCGACUCGAAGGCAGGAGAGGGUAGUGGAAUUCCCGGUGUAGUGGUGAAAUGCGUAGAUAUCGGGAGGAACACCAGUGGCGAAGGCGACUACCUGGCCUGUUCUUGACGCUGAGGCGCGAAAGCUAGGGGAGCAAACGGG